rnacentral:tRNA from 1 species
GCGGAAGUAGUUCAGCGGUAGAACACUUCCUUGCCAAGGAAGGGGUCGCGGGUUCAAAUCCCGUCUUCCGCUCCA